CACGUAGGGCGCAAGCGUUGUCCGGAAUUAUUGGGCGUAAAGAGCUCGUAGGCGGUCCGUCACGUCCGCUAUGAAAACCCAGGGCUCAACCCUGGGCUUGCAGUGGAUACGGGCAGACUAGAGGUAGGUAGGGGAGAAUGGAAUUCCCGGUGUAGCGGUGAAAUGCGCAGAUAUCGGGAGGAACACCGGUGGCGAAAGCGGUUCUCUGGGCCUUACCUGACGCUGAGGAGCGAAAGCGUGGGGAGCGAACAGG
rnacentral:rRNA from 1 species